GUAACAGUGCCUGUCACCUCAACAGUGCUCUGUGAAAACCCAGCAAGCGACCGAGCGUCCCACACCGCAGCCCCGCUCGCCGCAGCCGGCUCGCCUCUCCGGGGCUGUGGCUCUGGGCACCCACUCUGCCCAGCACUGGCCCACCCGCCUGCCACAGCCGCGGCCCCUCCCUGGGGACUGUCACCUCCAGUAGCUUGGCUAUGAGGGCUGCGUAGAGCACCGACAGGGGGCCCAGCAGCUCGGGGUCCCCCGGGGAGGCGGUGACAGCAGGCACAGUGGCAGGCACUGAGUCCAUCGCGUAGGGGCAGCUGCGCGGAGGCGACGCUUCCUGCGGACGGCACCGAGCCGGCUUUCACCGCUUCUGCCUCGGGAAGGACCGGCUCAGGGGGGCGGACACUGGGAAUGAACUUCGCCUUCCCGGAUCGCGGCCCCUUCCGCACUUGGCCUCCCGUAAAACACGUCAUCAGACGCUGCCCAGCAGCCCACGUCAACGCACCCCGGAAGCCUGCGUGCGGGGGCGGGGCUAGCGCGGAACAAACCAACCGCCGAGCUCGGCUGGGGGAGACGACGCGCUGAACGGAAGGAUUCCAAGUGUCAGCCAACAACUGACCCAUGAAGCCGACCUGUGGUGCUGCUCCCCUAAGCAAAGAAGAACUCAUCACCUUCCAGUAGGUGAGGCUGUGUCUUAGUGUCCACCCAUCCAGCACCUCCCGGACUGCACAUUUCAAGCACACCCACAAAGCCUGGCUUUUAAAAAUAUGUCAGCAUCCUAAUUCAGAUGGGACUGAGCGAGAGGCCAGACUAAUGGAAAUUGAGGCUGGGAAUUCUUCUCAAAUUGGAAACGGCACUGUUUCUGGUUCCCUCCUUAGACUCUUGGGGAUGUAUAGUAAUAUAUCAAGGACAGCCGAUAUCUUUAUGUAUUGCUUAUUAUUUAUGAAUGAUAUGCACACUGCGUGACACUUUUCGUGACACCUGACACCCUCCCACCACUGAGCACUUCCUACCAGGCAACACAGACCCGGGCUCUAUCAUUGCCUAUUGGGUUUGGUUGCAUUUGUUUGGACACCGGCCACUUCUCAAGUUAUAUUACAGCCUGGAACUCUUCCAAGCAGGGGUCUCAGUUCUGAAGCAGCCCCAGGGAUACUAUCCUCCCAAGUUUUGAGGAACUCGGGUGAGAGUGUGUUUGAAAGCAAAGAACAGAAAACACUGAGCAAUAUUCAAAAUUGCAAUAGCUGGUUUGUUAAUAGAAAAAUGAAAGAGAAAAUUCACAAUGGUGGCUCCACCUUUAUUUUAUUUACAACGUUUAUUUACACUGGCCCUGGGCUACCUCUAGGACCUAGAAUCUAGGUGAAAUAAAUUAC